rnacentral:rRNA from 1 species
UGGGGAAUAUUGCACAAUGGGCGCAAGCCUGAUGCAGCCAUGCCGCGUGUGUGAAGAAGGCCUUCGGGUUGUAAAGCACUUUCAGCGGGGAGGAAGGCGAUAAGGUUAAUAACCUCAUCGAUUGACGUUACCCGCAGAAGAAGCACCGGCUAACUCCGUGCCAGCAGCCGCGGUAAUACGGAGGGUGCAAGCGUUAAUCGGAAUUACUGGGCGUAAAGCGCACGCAGGCGGUUUGUUAAGUCAGAUGUGAAAUCCCCGGGCUCAACCUGGGAACUGCAUUCGAAACUGGCAGGCUAGAGUCUUGUAGAGGGGGGUAGAAUUCCAGGUGUAGCGGUGAAAUGCGUAGAGAUCUGGAGGAAUACCGGUGGCGAAGGCGGCCCCCUGGACAAAGACUGACGCUCAGGUGCGAAAGCGUGGGGAGCAAACAGG